rnacentral:lncRNA from 1 species
AUUUCCUCUCUUCCAAACUUUAUAACGCCUUUCAUGGGCGACACAUGAAGAAAGACUCGAUCACCAACAUUAAAUCUCAAAGCAUGAGCCUACGAUCCGCAUAGCACUUUUGCCUACUUGAGCUACUUGAAGUCUAUCUUGAAUAACCCAAACUUAUCCAAAGACUUGCAAAGAAAGCCCGUACCAUGAGGUUUAAUCUUAGAAACCUCAAACCAAUCAACUGAAAAGUGACAACGCC